rnacentral:lncRNA from 1 species
GUAACCUGCAGCUUUCCUGACAACUCCUUGCUCUCUCUCCUGCUAAGAACUGUAGCCCUUUUCUGCUGUUUUUAGAACCUUCUGCUACCAUAUCCACCACUUCCACCACCAGAUCCAUAACCACCACCAUAGGGACUGCCCGAGCUUCUUCCACCAAAACUGCCCCCUUUCAUGGGUCCAUAAUUUGAUUGCUGUUGUCCACUAUGAUUUCCAAAAUCAUUA